GCUGCAACUCGCCUGCACGAAGUCGGAAUUGCUAGUAAUCGUAGGUCAGCAUACUACGGUGAAUACGUUCCCGGGCCUUGUACACACCGCCCGUCAAACCAUGAGAGUUGGCAACACCCGAAGUCGGUAGUCUAACCGCAAGGAGGACGCCGCCGAAGGUGGGGUUGAUGAUUAGGGUUAAGUCGUAACAAGGUAAC
rnacentral:rRNA from 1 species